GACGAACGCUGGCGGCGUGCUUAACACAUGCAAGUCGAACGGAAAGGCCCUGCUUUUGUGGGGUGCUCGAGCGGCGAACGGGUGAGUAACACGUGAGUAACCUGCCCUUGACUUUGGGAUAACUUCAGGAAACUGGGGCUAAUACCGGAUAGGAGCUCCUGCUGCAUGGUGGGGGUUGGAAAGUUUCGGCGGUUGGGGAUGGACUCGCGGCUUAUCAGCUUGUUGGUGGGGUAGUGGCUUACCAAGGCUUUGACGGGUAGCCGGCCUGAGAGGGUGACCGGCCACAUUGGGGCUGAGAUACGGCCCAGACUCCUACGGGAGGCAGCAGUGGGGAAUAUUGCACAAUGGGCGGAAGCCUGAUGCAGCAACGCCGCGUGCGGGAUGACGGCCUUCGGGUUGUAAACCGCUUUCGCCUGUGACGAAGCGUGAGUGACGGUAAUGGGUAAAGAAGCACCGGCUAACUACGUG
rnacentral:rRNA from 1 species